rnacentral:lncRNA from 1 species
CUUAUCCAAAAACGACAAAGAUACGAUGCAUGGUAACGCCAGUAGUACACGUACGACUCCUCAUUGUGACAAAAGAAAAAAAGAAAAAUCGAGUUCAAACUUAUUCUUUCACCAAGAAUAGCCAUUUGCAAAUAAGACAAAUAGAAAUCGCAAUCGAAUCUUUCUGCUACUAGAUUUAUUAUUUCUCUACUUCAAUGUCC